rnacentral:ribozyme from 1 species
CCAAGCAUCAGCUGACCGCAGUCGAUUUUGACAGACAAAUUGUAAAAGAUGUUUCUCAAUCGCUGUCGUAACCUGUAAAGAGUCGAAUAGCCUUGCUCUCAAUCAUCCAAGCUUGGGUAUUCCGGGAAACCCAACUUCUUGUUCGGUUGGGUUGCAUGGCUAAAAUAAGUGGA